UGAGCAAUCUGCCCUUCACAUCGGAAUAACCAUUGGAAACGAUGGCUAAUACCGAAUAUGACUUCGGAUCGCAUGAUCUGAAGUGGAAAGCUCCGGCGGUGAAGGAUGAGCUCGCGGCCUAUCAGCUUGUUGGUGAGGUAACGGCCCACAAGGCGACGACGGGUAGCCGGCCUGAGAGGGUCGACCGGCCACACUGGGACUGAGACACGGCCCAGACCUCGUACGGGGA
rnacentral:rRNA from 1 species